AAUUCAACGACGAACUUCGCGGGAAAUUGUCCGAUAUUUCGUCAGUUUUGAUAGCACUCUAACCAAAAUGCAUUGGGCACUCCAGUAUGCUAAUUUUAUAGAGGGAGUCGAGAAUUGAUUCUUAUUUUAUUUGCAGCAAGUAACUCUGUGGGAUUUGGCCUAAUGGAUGCUCAUGGCUUAGUUUCCUUAGCAGUUAACUGGACGACAGUGCCUCCGCAACUAAACUGCACAGUGUCUCGAAUUUCUGUGAAUAGAGUCGUACCAAAGAUAAUUCGCCAUAUGAAACGUACUUGACUAACUGGACCAUUUUGACUCUGCAUCAUUGGGGUGAAAACCCCUUGGGAACUUGGGAACUUGCGCUGAAGAAUUCACGGCCGGAUCAAGAAAGUGAAGGCAUCCUGUUUGACUGGAUUUUGAUGAUCUAUGGUACAACAACAGAUCCCCUUGACGGCCACUUACAUGUUCAAAUACCGACAGGACCAGUGCUCCCUCAUGAGACAAAAGGUAUUACUGUGCAACCUGAGGAUAAUCAAACAACAAAUUUAGGGUCUACAUUUGCACCUUCAUCGCAUAGCGCACUUGUACAUAAGAUGGGAUCGUCAGGGCUUGCUAUGAAAGCAUUUGCGUACCUAUUUAUAGGGUUUUCUCGUAUCAUCGUGAUGGCCAUAGUAACUUGGUGGAAAAAUAAACGCCCAACUCAGAUUGAGAAUGGAGCACAGAGAGGGUAAUUCCAUUAUAGCUGAGAACUUUAUGGCCCUGCACUGCUUCUACAAUGAAAAGUUUUGCUAAAAACGAUUUAGUUCGGGAAAAGAGACAUUUGUAAAUUUAAGUUUAGAGAACACUUUCAUGUAAAUGUAAUUGGUGUUCAUUCUGUUUGGUAGAAAGUAGUCUGACCUGUGCAAAGAUGAUAUGUAGUAUUUAACAUUGUAACUUGUUUUUCGUUCGGUAAUUGUCUCGCGGGUUAGCUUUUUCGACCAUAAGGUUACUACAGAAGAAGAUGGAUGGAGCUAUUUUACCACCACCUUUAAUUUAGAAUACUUUUCUUUUGGAUCACAACUGAUAUAUGCAUUGCAUGCGGUGAGAUAAGAAGGUUGAGGCUCAGCUUAUAGUUACCCUCGCUAAAUUGGUACAAAUUUCUUUAGUGUGAGCAUGGUUACGUUGUGUUGUUAAAAUUUUCCACCUACUCGGUCUUGCACAAGAAAUUUGCUGAGCCUUUGGAAUGUGCUAAUUGACUUCACUAUGGUAUUCUUUCCAUGCUUGCUCCUCGGGUUUUGCAUGUUAGUAAAAAAAAUUGCCGUGCGUCCAUCAGAAAAUUACUAAAUGUGAUGAAGUUAAAGCCCUUUAAAAUGAACUGUAAAACAAUUAUAGGUAAAACAGUUUAAGUGUAAUGUUUUAUGAAUUUCGCUUAUAAAGUAUAAAAAGUAUAUGGUAACCUACAUAAUUAAGGGCAUUCUUCAGAAAUGGAGUUGUAAAGGUAUGAUUAAAAGGGAAGUAAUAGUUGAGGUGAUAAUAAAUUUUUCAAUGAAGAGAAA
rnacentral:misc_RNA from 1 species